AAGUCGUAACAAGGUUUCCGUAGGUGAACCUGCGGAAGGAUCAUUACUGCUUGCUCACGGCGCCGCUCGGGAAACCGGGCGGGGUCGGGCAUGCCACCCUUGCCUAUGUAUACCUGUCGUUCCUUCCCUCGGCGGGGCAUCCCGCCGCUGGGAACAACAAACCCUCUUGCAUGAAGCAUCAAACCUUCUGAACAAAACCUAAAUAAUCACAACUUUCAACAAUGGAUCUCUUGGUUCUG
rnacentral:misc_RNA from 1 species